UGGGGAAUAUUGGACAAUGGGCGCAAGCCUGAUCCAGCCAUGCCGCGUGAGGGAUGAAGUAUUUCGGUAUGUAAACUUCGUAAGAAUAGGAAGAAUAAAUGACGGUACUAUUUAUAAGGUCCGGCUAACUACGUGCCAGCAGCCGCGGUAAUACGUAGGGACCAAGCGUUGUUCGGAUUUACUGGGCGUAAAGGGCGCGUAGGCGGCAAUUCAAGUCAUCUGUGAAAUCUCCGGGCUUAACUCGGAACGGUCAGAUGAUACUGCUUUGCUAGAGUGCAGAAGGGGCAAUCGGAAUUCUUGGUGUAGCGGUGAAAUGCGUAGAUAUCAAGAGGAACACCUGAGGUGAAGACGGGUUGCUGGGCUGACACUGACGCUGAGGCGCGAAAGCCAGGGGAGCAAACGGGAUUAGAUACCCCUGUAGUCCCUGAGCGGGCUGGCAAGGCGCAU
rnacentral:rRNA from 1 species